rnacentral:sRNA from 1 species
GGAUAUGAGGUGACCUGGAUUUGACAUCUGCAAUCCCACUGGUCUGUAUUGACUGAAAUCCUUGGCUGGCUUCACAGGUGUGCCCCUGUCCUCUCACAGCUCCAACUGUGUCCUCUCAGAACUGUACACUGGUCUAAGAAUGCUCACUUCCUGGAGAGAAGGGUUAAUUAGACCCCCUUUCCAAGUUUUACUGGCAUGUUUUUAUUAUCCUUUGAGUCUAUUUUUUAUA